rnacentral:rRNA from 1 species
UACGGAGGGUGCAAACGUUGCUCGGAAUUAUUAGGCGUAAAGCGCACGUAGGCGGCCUAGCAAGUCGGGUGUGAAAUCCCUCGGCUUAACCGAGGAAGUGCAUUCGAUACUACUGGGCUUGAAUACUCAAGAGGGUCUCGGAAUUCCCGGUGUAGAGGUGAAAUUCGUAGAUAUCGGGAGGAACACCAGUGGCGAAGGCGGAGACCUGGGGAGAUAUUGACGCUGAGGUGCGAAAGCGUGGGGAGCAAACAGG